UUGUGAUGUGGUGCCUAUGUGACAUGAAAAAAAGUAUGACAAAAGUGACACCACUCCCUCUGGCGUAAGGGACGGAACCAUGUCUAAAAUUUGAAAGUAUGACUACAAACUAGGAGUAGAAGUGUGAUUUACUAAUAAAUAUAUGCAUAUACUAGGCAUAUGGUAAUCAUACCGUGCGGUGUCAAUUUUUAAAUUAUCGUAUAUAAUAAUAUUUGUUUGUGACAUGUGUGAUAUAUAAACCACACAUAUGUUUAUAAGUGGGUAUCAUCCUAUAAGACUUUAAGGGUAUAAUUUAAAAAACUAAAAUUUCGAUCUAGAUUUUGAAGAGAUCGCCAGUAGACUACAAUUUCGUAGCAUACUUAAAAUCAUUACCAAUAACGAUUAAGCUAGGAGAACGCGUCAACCUACUUGUGAUGUGGCGCCCACAUGGCAUGAAAAAUAGUAUGACAAAAGUGGCACUACUCCCUCUUGCGUAAGGGACGUAACCAUGUCUAAAAUUUAAAAGUUUGACUAAAAACAGGCACUAGAAGUGUGAUUUACUCAUAAAUAUAUGCAUAUACUAGGCAUAUGGUAACCAUAUCGUGCAUUGUCAAUUUUUAACUUAUCCUACAUAAUAAUAUAUGUGUGUGACAUGUGUGAUAUAUAAACCAUACACAUGUUUAUAAGUGGGUAUCUUCGUAUAAGACUCUUUACGGGUACCAUUUAAAAUGGUAAAAAUUCAAUUAAGAUUUUGUAGAGAUUGCCAGAAGACUUCAAUUUCCUAGCGCAUUUAAAAUCAUUACCACUAACGAUUAAGCCAGGAGAUGGACUCAACCUAGUUGUGAUGUCUGCCUACGUGGCAUGAAAACAGUAUGACAAAAGUGACUACUCCCUCUAGCGUAAUGGACGGAACCAUGUCAAAAAUUUAAAAGUUUGACUAAAAACAUGGACUAGAAGAGUAAUUUACACGUAAAUAUAUGUAUAUGGUAAUCAUAUCGUGCAAUGUCAAUUUCUAACUUAUCCUACAUAAUAAUAUUUGUUUGUGAUAUGUGUGAUAUAUAAACCACACAAAUGUUUAUAAGUUGGUAUUAUCCUAUAAGAUUUUAAGGGUAUAAUUUAAAACACUAGAAAUUCAAUCUAGAUUUUGCAAAGAUCGCCAGUAGACUACAAUUUCCAGAGAUAUUUUAAAUCAUUACCACUAACGAUUAAGACAGGAGAACGACUCAACGUAGUUGUGAUGUGGCGCCUACUUGGCAUGAAAAAUAAUAUGACAAAAGUGGCACUAUUCCCUCUAGUGUAAGGGAUGGAACCAUGUCAAAAAUUUAAAAGUUUGCCCAAAAACUAGGACUAGAAGUGUGAUUUACUAAUAAAUAUAUGCAUAUCCUAGGCGUAUGGUAAUCAUAUUGCGCGGUGUCAAUUUUUAAAUUAUCGUACAUAAUAAUAUUUGUUUAUGACAUGUGUCAUAUAUAAACAGCACACAUGUUUAUAUGUAGGUAUCAUCCUAUAAUACUUUAAGGGUAUAAUUUUAAAAACUAAAAAUUCAAUCUAGAUUUUGCAGAGAUCACCAGUAGACUACAAUUUCCUAGCUUACUUAAAAACAUUACCACUAACGAUUAAGUCAAGAGAACGACUCAACCUAGUUGUGAUGUGGCCUACAUGGCAUGAAAAAUAGUAUGUCAAAAGUGGCACUACUCCCUCUGGCGUAAGGGACGGAACCAUGUCUAAAAUUUGAAAGUCUGACUAAAAACUAGGAGUAGAAGUGUGAUUUACUAAUAAAUAAAUGCAUAUACUAGGCAUAUGGUAAUCAUAUCGUGCGGUGUCAAUUUUUAAAUUAUCGUACAUAACAAUAUUUGUUUGUGACAUGUGUGAUAUAUAAACCACACAUAUGUUUAUAAGUGGGUAUCAUCCUAUAAGACUUUAAGGGUAUAAUUUAAAAAACUAAAAUUUCAAUCUAGAUUUUGAAGAGAUCGUCAUUAGACUACAAUUUCCUAGCAUACUUAAAAUCAUUACCACUAACGAUUAAGCUAGGAGAACGUGUCAACCUACUUGUGAUGUGGCGCCCACGUGGCAUGAAAAAUAGUAUGACAAAAGUGGCACUACUCCCUCUCGCGUAAUAGACGAAACCAUGUCUAAAAUUUAAAAGUUUGACUAAAAACAGGCACUAGAAGUGUGAUUUACUCGUAAAUAUAUGCAUAUACUAGGCAAAUGGUAACCAUAUCGUGCAUUGUCAAUUUUUAACUUAUCCUACAUAAUAAUAUAUGUGUGUGAUAUAUAAACCAUACACAUGUUUAUAAGUGGGUAUCUUCGUAUAAGACUCUUUAUGGGUACAAUUUAAAAUGGUAAAAAUUCAAUCCAGAUUUUGUAGAGAUUGCCAGAAGACUUCAAUUUCCUAGCGUGUUUAAAAUCAUUACCACUAACGAUUAAGCCAGGAGAUGGACUCAACCUAGUUGUGAUGUCUGCCUACGUGGCAUGAAAAUAGUAUGACAAAAGUGACUACUCCCUCUAGCGUAAUGGACGGAACCAUGUCAAAAAUUUAAAAGUUUGAUUAAAAACAUUGACUAGAAGAGUAAUUUUCACGUAAAUAUAUGCAUAUGGUAAUCAUAUCGUGCAAUGUCAAUUUCUAACUUAUCCUACAUAAUAAUAUUUGUUUGUGACAUGUGUGAUAUAUAAACCACACAAAUGUUUAUAAGUUGCUAUUAUCCUAUAAGAUUUUAAGGGUAUAAUUUAAAACACUAGAAAUUCAAUCUAGAUUUUGCAAAGAUCGCCAGUAGACUACAAUUUCCAGACAUAUUUUAAAUCAUUACCACUAACAAUUAAGACAGGAGAACGACUCAACCUAGUUGUGAUGUGGCGCUUACGUGGCAUGAAAAAUAGUUUGACAAAAGUGGCACUACUCCCUCUUGCGUAAGGGACGUAACCAUGUCUAAAAUUUAAAAGUUUGACUAAAAACAAGGACUAGAAGUUUGAUUUACUCACAAAUAUAUUCAUAUACUAGGCAUAUGGUAACCAUAUCUUGCAUUGUCAAUUUUUAACUUAUCCUACAUAAUAAUAUAUGUGUGUGACGAGUGUGAUAUAUAAACCAUACACAUUUUUAUAAGUGGGUAUCUUCAUAUAAGACUCUUUAUGGGUACAAUUUAAAAUGAUAAAAAUUCAAUCCAGAUUUUGAAAAGAUCGCCAGGUGACUUCAAUUCCGUAGCAUAUUAAAUAUCAUUACCACUAAAGAUUAAGCCAAGAGAAGGACUCAACCUAGUUGUGAUGUGUGCCUACGUGGCAUGAAAACAAUAUGACUAAAGUGACUACUCCCUCUAGCGAAGGGAUGGAACCAUGUCAAAAAUUUAAAAGUUUGACUAAAAACAUGGACUAGAAGUGUAAUUUACACGUAAAUAUAUGCAUAUGGUAAUCAUAUCACGCAAUGUCAAUUUCUAACUUAUCCUACAUAAUAAUAUUUGUUUGUGACAUGUGUGAUAUAUAAUUAUAAACCACACAAAUGUUUAUAAGUUGGUAUUGUCCUAUAAGAAUUUAAUGGUAUAAUUUAAAACACUAAAAAUUCAAUCUAGAUUUUGCAAACAUCGCCAGUAGACUACAAUUUCCUAGCAUACGUAAAAUCAUUACCACUAACGAUUUAGCCAGAAGAAGAGUCAACCUAGUUGUGAUGUGGCGCCUACGUGGGAUGAAAAACAAUAUGAUAAAAAUGGCACUACUCCUUCUAGCGUAAGGGAUGAGACCAUGUCAAAAAUUUAAAAGUUUGACUAAAAACACGGAGUAGAAGUGUAAUUUACAUGUAAAUAUAUGCAUAUAAUAGGCAUAUGGUUAUCAUAUCGCGCAGUGUCAACUUUUAAUUUAUCCUACAUAAUAAUAUUUGUUUGUGAAGUGUGUGAUGUAUAAACUACACAAAUGUUUAUAAGUGGGUAUCUUCCUAUAAGACUUUAAGGGUACAAUUUAAAACACUAAAAGUUCAGUCCAGAUUUUACAAAGAUCGCAGUAGACUAUAAUUUCCUUGCAUACUUAAAAUCAUUACUACUAACAAUUAAGGCAACAGAAGGACUUAACCUAGUUGUGAUGUGAGCCUAAGUGGCAUGAAAACAGUAUGACAAAAGUGAUUACUCCCUCUAGCGCAAGGGAAAGAACCAUGUCAAUAUUUUUUAAAAGUUUGACUAAAAACAUGGACUAGAAGUGUAAUUUACACGUAAAUAUAUGUAUAUGGUAAUCAUAUCGUGCAAUGUCAAUUUCUAACUUAUCCUACAUAAUAAUAUUUGUUUGUGACAUGUGUGAUAUAUAAACCACACAAAUGUUUACAAGUUGGUAUAGUCCUAUAAGACUUUAAGGGUAUAAUUUAAAACACUAAAAAUUCAAUCUAGAUUUUGCAGAGAUCGCCAGUAAACUACAAUUUCCUAGCAUACUUAAAAUCGUUACCGCUAACGAUUAAGCCGGAAGAAGACUCAACCUAGUUGUGAUGAGCCUACGUGGCAUGAAAAAAAGUAUGAC
rnacentral:lncRNA from 1 species